rnacentral:rRNA from 1 species
UACAGAGGGCGCGAGCGUUAAUCGGAAUUACUGGGCGUAAAGCGUGCGUAGACGGUAGCGUAAGUCAGAUGUGAAAGCCCCGGGCUCAACCUGGGAACUGCAUUUGAGACUGCUCUGCUCGGGUGCGGAAGAGGGAAGCGGAAUUUCCGGUGUAGCGGUGAAAUGCGUAGAUAUCGGAAGGGACACCAGUGGCGAAAGCGGCUUCCUGGUCCGACACCGACGUUCAGGCACGAAAGCGUGGGGAGCAAACAGG